rnacentral:rRNA from 1 species
AGUGAACGCUGGCGGUAGACCUAACACAUGCAAGUCGAACGGCAGCACAGUAAGAGCUUGCUCUUACGGGUGGCGAGUGGCGGACGGGUGAGGAAUACAUCGGAAUCUACUUUUUCGUGGGGGAUAACGUAGGGAAACUUACGCUAAUACCGCAUACGACCUACGGGUGAAAGCAGGGGAUCUUCGGACCUUGCGCGAUUGAAUGAGCCGAUGUCGGAUUAGCUAGUUGGCGGGGUAAAGGCCCACCAAGGCGACGAUCCGUAGCUGGUCUGAGAGGAUGAUCAGCCACACUGGAACUGAGACACGGUCCAGACUCCUACGGGAGGCAGCAGUGGGGAAUAUUGGACAAUGGGCGCAAGCCUGAUCCAGCCAUACCGCGUGGGUGAAGAAGGCCUUCGGGUUGUAAAGCCCUUUUGUUGGGAAAGAAAAGCAGCAGGUUAAUACCCCGCUGUUCUGACGGUACCCAAAGAAUAAGCCCCGGCUAUCUUCGUG